rnacentral:tRNA from 1 species
CAGACCGAGUACACCUAAUCACUAAACAACCAGAACUCGUCUAACACAAAGACCUCUAACUUCGAC